CUCAUCGCUUUCUCUGGGUGCAGUCCCAUCCCUGGCCCGCAGUCCGCACAAUCGAUAACAACAAAGCUACACGUCUGUAGCAAAACAGACUUACACAACACUAUGCAAAACGAACCACAAAUCGAUAACAUCAAACAAUCGGAACUCCAAACAGAUGAACAACAUAAACAGCUGUGACGAUAAAUAAAUCUCGGGCCCCGCUUCCAGAUCCAGCGUACCCGCCCUACCAUGAGACGAUCACCUACUCGUCUCCCACAUUUUAGCCAUUUGAUGGUCUGCAUCAGCCUGUGCCGGCUAUUAUGCCAACUCUCCCCAUCAUCGAAAAUUUAGCCGGACAUUUCUCUCUUCAGGAUAUCUCCAAGCUGCUAUUUAUAAAAAAAAAAAAUAAUAGGAUUCUAAUGAAGGUACAGAGAAAAGGGCUUU